rnacentral:rRNA from 1 species
UACGGAGGGGGUUAGCGUUGUUCGGAAUGACUGGGCGUAAAGCGCGCGUAGGCGGGCUGGAAAGUUGGGGGUGAAAUCCCGGGGCUCAACCCGGAUGGCUUCAAAACUCCCAGCCUAGAGUUCGAGAGAGGUGAGUGGAAUUCCGAGUGCAGAGGUGAAAUUCGUAGAUAUUCGGAGGAACACCAGUGGCGAAGGCGGCUCACUGGCUCGACACUGACGCUGAGGUGCGAAAGCGUGGGGAGCAAACAGGAUUAGAUACCCCUGUAGU